AGAGCAAGCUCAGGUGCUGUCCAGAGCGCUGUUAUUGAUCAGCAUCUUGCUUUCUAUUAAAUGGCUUCCUACGUGGGACUUUUUUGCACAGUGUCAAGGCAGCUCAAUAAAAUGGUUGGCUUUUAUUCACUUGUACAACUCUGCUUUUGACUCUGGGCCCAGCCAAGAGAACUGUAGGCUGCCCCAAGCAAACUCACACAGCCUUUCCAGCACAGACAGACCAAGGUCAGCACAGGUCUUAGACCAGUUACCCAAGUCUCAUCAUUUGCUGUGGGGAGAAGCAUUUGCUAAGUGCCAGCCACCCAGAGAGCCCUGCCCUCAUGAUGUCCUUCUCAGAGUCCAAAUGGUCAAAGGAAAGUCCUAGGUAAGAUAGUUGCUAUGCUGUUCUAGUUGGAUUUCUUAGGGAAGCCAAAACCAGGAACUGAAGCAGAGGUCUUGGAGGAACAAUAGCAUGGGCUCACUCACCCUGCUUUCUUAUAUUACCCAGGAAUACUUCCUUAGACAUAGGGAAUGGAGUGGGGGUAGCACCACCCACAGUGGGCUGGGCCCUCCCACAUCAAUCAUUAAUCAAGAAAAUGCCUUACAGUCUUGCCUACAGGACAACCUGAUGGAGGCAUAUUUUUCAAUGGAGGCUCUCUUUUCUCAACUAACUCCAGCUUCAUCAAGUUGACAAAAAUCUAACCAAGAUAGUAGCUAACUCCAAGUACCAGUUUUGGGUCCCGCUAGUCCAGAAGGGCAUUUCACACCCCCAUUUUGCUGUAUUUUGUUUGCUUGUUUGUUUCAAGACAGGUUUUCUAUGUAUAGCCCUGGCUGUCCUGGUACUCCCUUUGUAGACCAGGCUGCACUCGAACUCUGAGAUCUCCCUCCUUCUGACACCUGAGUUCUUGGGGUAAAGGUGUGCACCAUAACAACAAACUUACUUUCCCUCUUUUUUUUUCUUUUAAUGGACUAUUGAUGUCAGUUCUAGUAUCUUCAAUUCUUUGAUCAACUGCUCUGUCCCAAGACUAAUAGCCUUAAAUAGGUCUAAUUUCUGCUAUCUCCCACCAUAUGAUACCCCUCCGUAUACAUACUUAAAAUAUUUUUGUAGUUUUUUUGUUACUGUUUGACAAAAGACAGUCUGGUCAUGGUGGCUCUUGGCUAUAACCUCAGCAUUCAGGUGGCUGAAGUAGGAGGAUUCUUGUGCUCAUCAAUGAAUUGGGCUCUGUCUUAAAUGAACACUCCUACCAAACCAUCCACAAAUCAAAUCAAACCAACCAAUCAAAAUCCAGGUAGAUGAUGCAACUGAAGUAAGGUUCUGUGCUUGUUAGUCAUGCAGUGGGGGCUGCCCACCAGUAAACCCCAUGUUAGCAACAAGGCAAGGCAGGUACCUUCAAAUGUUCUUUUGUGCUUCAGCUAAAACUAGAAAAAAGUAAACAGAAGUAUUUGUGUGUGUGUGUGUGUGUGUGUGUGUGUGUGUGUGUGUGUGUGUGUGUCUAGCUUUAUGCCCUUUGAACGUGUGUUCCUGGAUCUCUUCCAGGAUUACAGACCCAAGUCUGCAGUCUGUGACUCCUGGAGUAGGACUUCAAAUUGAGCAUGCUCAAGAAGUGCCUGACCCUUAAGCACCUUCCAAUAUGAAUGUGCACAGGAUCCCAGAAUAAAUGAAUAAAUCCUCCGUGUCCCUUUCUUCGACAAGGGCACUUCUCGUCCAUGCUCUUUUUUUUUUUUAAUUUUUAAAAUCUUUUUUAAAAAAAGAUUUAUUUAUUUAUCUAUUAUUAUAUGUAAAUAUACACUGUAACUGUCUUUAGACACUCCAGAAGAGGUUGUCAGAUCUCGUUAUGGAUGGUUGUAAGCCACCAUGUGGUUGUUGGGAUUUGAACUCAGGACCUUUGGAAGAGCAGUCAGAGCUCUUAACCACUGAGCCAUCUUUCCAGCCCCGUUUCUUCCAUGCUCUUUUGUUUUGGCUUUGCACUCACCAGGACAUGACCCAGCUGUGUUCAUUCACACUGACUGAUACUCUGUGACAGUUUGUCCCAGAAGGCUGGUAGCCACUAAGACACUAAUGAAUGGGUAGUAUAUAGAGUGGGCACAUGUUGGACCAAGGGGUGAUCCAUGCUCUGGAUGGGAAGGGGGAAGAUUUCUUCACAUUUCUCAGAAUGAUGUGGGUGGAGGCUAAUGUUCAAGGUCAUCAUGACUGAGUUUGGGAUCCCCAGGAGACACACCUUGGGGACUCCAUUGAGAUGGACUGUCUCCUCUACACCAGUGAGCCCAAACAAACUGUCCCUUAAGUUGCUUUUAUCAGAUACUUAACUGUCACAGCAAUGAGAAAAGUAACCAGUGUAGUAUGUUUUAUUUGUUCAUUUUGGAUUUUUGGGAUAGGAUUUUGUCCUAGAACUCACUGUGUAGACCAGCCAUGCCCCUGCCUCUGCUUCCUGUUUUAUUGUUGAGACAAGCCCUCUACAUAAUUCUGGCUCGUCUAGAAAUCACUAUGUCGACCAGAAUAGCCUUGACCUCUGAUACACCUGCCUCUACCUCCUGAUUGCUGAAAUUAAAGGUGUGUAACACUACACCCACCAGGUUAAAGAUGUAUUUUUAUUUUAUAUAUGAGUGUUUUUUGCCUGCAUCCACAUCUGUGCACUGCAUCCAUGUAGUACCCACAGAGGCCAGAAGAGGGCAUUGGGUUGGAUUCUUAGAAACUGGAGGCUCCAGCAUAAAAAUUGUAAAACUUACAUUGUGAAUAGGUGUGUAUACAUGGGUCAAACAUAGCCUUUUGGGCGUGCUAAGUAAGAACAUAUAUAUAUAUAUACA
rnacentral:lncRNA from 1 species